rnacentral:lncRNA from 1 species
AGCCCUGGCGGUGCCCACGGGGCAGCCGCCGCGCAGGUAACAGCACGCCUUGCUGAAGAAGGCGAAGCGCCCACGUCGGACGCCGCCCCUUUCAAGGGGCUCCAUUUUCCAGGACGCAGUUCGGACAUCACCUUCUUUGGUGAGGUCUCCACUGCCUCCUCCCUCCUUCCAGCACCAAACAAGGAAUCUCUUGUCCGGGAUCCCGCUGAGUACCACGACCUGGAAAGGAUAGAGAAAAUGAAAUUAAAGACAUGGCCAAGAGUAAGAGGAGCCUGUCCCUGCCAGGAAAGAUGUCCAGAAGAAUCCAUUUCACCCUGUCCUCCAAGAUCUCGUGGUGUUUGUGCUGUUUCAAUUAUGUCCAAGUUGACGUACGGUGAUGAAAGGUUUUUCCCUGAGAAUUCUGAUCAUGGAUGUCAAGAAAAAAGUAUCAGGAUGAGAGAAAUAUCUCGCAGCCCCAGGGACUGAGGAUAGACAGUGGGGAAGCAGUGGAAAAGAGGCUGCUCUCUGAAUGCCCCGAACCCUGGAUGAAGGCAGAGUUGCAUGGUUUUAAAAUCACUAAUGUCAGGGCCAACAUUGUGGCACAGCAGGUUAAGUCACCCACUGUGAGGACGGCAUCCCACAUGGGCACCGGUUCGGUUCUGUCUGCUUCACUUCUGAUCCAGGUCCCUGCUAAUGGCUUGGGAAAACAGUGGAAGAUGGAGCAAGUGCUUGGACCUCUGAAGAGACCUGGAAGAAGCUCCUGGCUUGUAGCUUUGGCCAGGCCUGGCCCUGGUCAUAGUGGCCAUUUGGGGAGGGAACCAGCAGAUGGGAAAUCUCUCUCUCUCUCUUCCUCUCUCCCUCUCUCCCUCUCUCUCUCUCCCACCAUCUCUGUAACUCUUGUUUUUCAAGCAAAUAAAUGCACCUUUUUUAAAAAAUCCACUAACGUCAUUACUCAUUGGCAAUCUGUUUCUAGCACAAUUUUAGCUUCUAAUUGUAUUCAGUUCCUGGUGGGCUGUUGUAUGUGUUCAAUCUCUUUGUUCCCAUGA